GCAACUUUUCCUUUGCACAGGUUUUGAUAAAUCUCCCCCACUCAAUCCAAAGAUGCAAUAAAGACAGGCUGCACAGCAAGUUUCCUCACUGCUGUUCCAUCAUGGACAUCAAUCUUAGCCUGGAGGGACCAUCUUUUCCGAAAGCUUUUCCAUCCACUCCCAACUGUGCCUUGUGAACCGGACGUCUGGAGGACCCCUGGACCCAAGGACAUUAGAUGGACAUUACCUGUGAGGGACGUAUCAGAGCCGGAAGAAGCAUCCAUCUUGUGACGCGAAACUAGUUGCUCCUACAGGUGUGUUCCGUGUCAGGAGGAUCGGCUGACUCUCGCUCCCCGCCAUGAACGUUUGUUUGAUCACUGACGAAAACAUGCAAUAAAAGCUACUGCAUUGCUGAAGAUACGGGGGUCCCAACACUGGGAAACCUAGCGAUCUCUGUGCAGCCCCCAGCAUUCCAAGACGUGCGAGACCAAGAUGAGAUGAAACAGUAACGCCCCCUUGUGAUGUCAUGCCACGUCACCUCCAUUCAUGUCUAUGGGAGGGGGCAUGAUGGCCUUUGUAUAGGGGAUAAGAUGUCUUAGGCAAGAAUACCCCUUUAAUUUUAUUUUAAGUGCCCAUCUUACAUUCCUGCACAGUUACAUUGCUUACUUGGUUUGAAU